rnacentral:rRNA from 1 species
AGAUUGAACGCUGGCGGCAUGCCUUACACAUGCAAGUCGAACGGCAGCACGGGAGCAAUCCUGGUGGCGAGUGGCGAACGGGUGAGUAAUAUAUCGGAACGUGCCCAGUCGUGGGGAUAACGCAGCGAAAGCUGUGCUAAUACCGCAUACGAUCUAUGGAUGAAAGCGGGGAUCGCAAGACCUCGCGCGAUUGGAGCGGCCGAUAUCAGAUUAGCUAGGUUGGUAGGGGUAAAAGCCCGUAACCGAAGGCGAACGAUCCGUGUAGCGUGGUCUGGAGAGGACGACCAGCCACACUGGAACUGACGACGACGGUCCAGACCUCGUACGGGAGACAGCGAGGUGGGUAAUUUU